UGCUAAUGCCGGAUAGGCAACUGGUAGGCAUCUACCGGUUGGGAAAGGUGCAACUGCACCGCAGAUGGAGGAGCCCGCGGCGCAUUAGCUAGUUGGUGGGGUAACGGCCUACCAAGGCGACGAUGCGUAGCCGACCUGAGAGGGUGGACGGCCACACUGGGACUGAGACACGGCCCAGACUCCUACGGGAGGCAGCAGUAGGGAAUCUUCCGCAAUGGGCGCAAGCCUGACGGAGCAACGCCGCGUGAGCGAAGAAGGCCUUCGGGUUGUAAAGCUCAGUCACUCGGGAAGAGCGGACAGGGGAGUGGAAAGCCCCUGUCGAGACGGUACCGAGAGAGGAAGCCCCGGCUAACUACGUG
rnacentral:rRNA from 1 species